rnacentral:rRNA from 1 species
GAUGAACGCUGGCGGCGUGCCUAAUACAUGCCAGUCGAGCGAACAGACGAGGAGCUUGCUCCUCUGACGUUAGCGGCGGACGGGUGAGUAACACGUGGAUAACCUACCUAUAAGACUGGGAUAACUUCGGGAAACCGGAGCUAAUACCGGAUAAUCUAUUGAACCGCAUGGUUCAAUAGUGAAAGACGGUUUUGCUGUCACUUAUAGAUGGUUCCGCGCCGCAUUAGCUAGUUGGUAAGGUAACGGCUUACCAAGGCGACGAUGCGUAGCCGACCUGAGAGGGUGAUCGGCCACACUGGAACUGAGACACGGUCCAGACUCCUACGGGAGGCAGCAGUAGGGAAUCUUCCGCAAUGGGCGAAAGCCUGACGGAGCAACGCCGCGUGAGUGAUGAAGGUCUUCGGAUCGUAAAACUCUGUUAUUAGGGAAGAACAAAUGUGUAAGUAACUAUGCACGUCUUGACGGUACCUAAUCAGAAAGCCACGGCUAACUACGUG